AUUGAACGCUGGCGGCAUGCCUAACACAUGCAAGUCGAGCGAGCGGCGGACGUGUGUGUAAUGUCUGGGGAUCUGCCUGAUGGAGGGGGAUAACUACUGGAAACGGUAGCUAUUCCCGCAUACCAUCCCAUUAACCCAUAUUGGAUUAGGUUGUAGGUGAGGUAACGGCUCACCUAGGCGACGAUCCAUAGCUGGUCUGAGAGGAUGAUCAGCCACACUGGGACUGAGACACGGCCCAGACUCCUACGGGAGGCAGCAGUGGGGAAUAUUGCACAAUGGGCGCAAGCCUGAUGCAGCCAUGCCGCGUGUAUGAAGAAGGCCUUCGGGUUGUAAAGUACUUUCAGUCGGGAGGCGUUACCGACAGAAGAAGCAACGGCUAACUCCGUGCCAGCCGCCGCGGUAAUUC
rnacentral:rRNA from 1 species